CCCCACGUAGGCCCAACCUAGAUACAUCCUCACAACAGCAAGACUCACCACAAGUAUCCCACUGGAUAAAGCUGCAAGAAUUGGCUUCAACGGUUCCAAUUCUGGUCUCACCGAACCAAACCAAGCGACGGGCAACCCGACAAAGAAAACAAAAGCAGCGCCAACAACGAACAAUCGAGAGCUGUACUCAAUAAAGUCAUCGGCAGCCCAGGAAAAGGGGAAGGAAGUGGAAAGAUUCUGGUACUCAUUUAUGGGCUGUUGGUCAAGUGGAACAGGGCACUCUGUUUCAGAUGGAGUGUUGCUUCCAUUUCUAAAUGAUGAAAAGGGUAUGUUAGGAAUUAUGUUUUUAUGGUGGUGUAAUCUAGGUUUGGCAAAUGGGAUGAGGAAUUUGGGGGUGGGGGUGGGAAUGGGAGUGGGAGUGGGAGAGGAGAAGUGGACUGGAGGUGGUUUUGCUGUUAAGUGAAGGUCCAGAAUU
rnacentral:misc_RNA from 1 species